GUGAGCCGAGAUUGCACCUCUGCACUCCAACCUGGGCGACGAGAGUGUAACUCUGUCUCAAAAAAGAAAAUAUUCUCUUGGUAACACUAUUGGAAUAGGAACAUUCACUGAUGGAGGAAAUGCAAAACUGUAUAAUCUCUGUUAUAGGGGAAUUUGGCAAUUUUACAUUUAAAUUUGCCUUGUGACCCAGCAAUCCUGCUAUAUUAUUCCUUUCAUAUUGCUAUAAAAAAAUCUGAGGCUGGGUAAUUUAUAAAGAAAGGAGGUAUUUUUUUUCAUGGUUCUUCAGGCUGUAUACAAGCAGGGCUGUUAGCAUCUGCUCAGCUUCUGAUGAGGCCCAGGAAGCUUUUGGUCUUGGUGGAAGAGAAGAGGAGCCAGCAUAUUACAUGACGAGAGGAAGCAAGAGAGAUACCAGGCUCUUUUAAGCAACCAGUUCUCAUGUGAACGCAUUGCUACUGAGAAAGUGCCAAACCAUUCACGAGGGAUCCACUACCUAGACCCAAACACCUCCCCCUAGGCCCCGUCUCCAACAGCGGGGAUCAUAUUUCAACAUGAGACUUCGAGGAGACAAAUAUCCAAACCAUAUCGCCCACGUUUAGGAAUGUCUCUCCAUGGUAGAUGAUUUGCAAAUAGACGGUGGUAUACCCAUUCCAUGGAAGCAGGGAAAUAUGUUUGCACGUCUUUGGUUAGUCCUCUUCUUUUCUACUGACAGUGGGCUUGUCCAUGUGUCCUGCAUGAUCAAAAUGACAAUAGCAAACUUGAUGGCCACAGAAGAUUGAAAAGUGCUUGGGCAUUGAGCUUGCUCUCUCUUGAAGUGCUUGGAGCCCUGAGACUGCCAUGAGACCACAUAAAUGAUCACUAGCUAGCCUGCUGGAGGAUGAGAGGUCACUUGAGAAACCUUGGCUCACAGCCUGCUUACACCAGACACAUGGAUGAGUCUGUCUUAGACUAUCCAGCUCCAGCUGAGUUGCCAGCUGACUUCAGUCACAUGAGUGAGAACAACAGAAGGACAGCACUGAGCUCUGCCAAAAUUGCUGACCUACAGAAUCUUGAGCUAAUGAAUGAUUGUAGCUUUAUGCCAUUAAGUUCUGAGGCAGUGUGCUAUACAUAGCAAAAGCUAACUGAUACAAAACUAAAGAUACAAUGGCACAAACAUGAAAAGACAUGUUCACCGAAGCAUUGCCUAUAAUAGUUAAAGACUGGAAACGACUCAGAUGUCCACCAACUCAGGAGUGGUUGAACCUACUACAGUGCAUUCACCCCGUGGAAUACUAAGCAGCUCCAACAGGGGUAGGAAAUUUGUAUACUUUCAUAAAAUGAUCUUUAGGAUAUAUUGUUAAGUGAAAAAAACAAGGUGUAGAAUAGUUAAUAGAGUAUGCUACCUCUUAUUUAAUAAAGGGAGAAUAUAAAUAUGUAUUUUGCUUUUAUUUAGAAAAUGAAAGAAUAAGAAACCACUAAAAUGAUUUUUUAGAAGAAAGCAAGGGGACACAGAUGGAAGUUAGAUUUCUCUAAAUUUACUUUGUUUUGUAGCUAGAACUUUAGAACCAUGUCAAUGUUUUACACACGUCACACUUAUAAUCAAGAUAAAAAAUACUUAUACAGUGAUGUGUCACUUAAUGACAGGGAUAUAUUCUGAGAAAUGGUGCCGUUAGGCACUUUUGUCCCUGUGCCAACAUCAUAGAAUAUACCUACUGCACACCUAGGCUAUAUGAUGUAGUCUAUUGCUCCUAAGCUACAAACCUGUAUAGCAUGUUACUGUACUGAAUACUGUAGGCAAUUGUAACAGAAUGGUAAACAUUUGUGUAUCUAAACAUAGAAAAGGUACAGUAAAAACACAGUAUAAAAGUCAAAAAAUGGUACACUUGCAAGGGCACUUACCAGGAAUGGAGCUUAGAGGUUGGAAGUUGCUCUGUAUGAGUCAGUGAGUGAGUGGUGAGUGAAUGUGGAGGCCUAGGAAAUUAUUCUACACUACUGUAGAAUUUAUGAACAUUUGGGCUACACUAAAUUUAUAAAAAACAUUUUCUUCUUCAAUAAUGAGUUAGCUCACUGUAACUUACUUUUUAAACUUUUUAAAUGUUUUUUAAGUUUUUAACUCUUGUAAUAACACUUAGCUUAAAACACACAUUGUACAGCUGUACAAAAAUAUUUUCUUUAUGUCAUUCUAUAAGCUUUUUAAAAUAUUUUCAAAUGUAUUUUUUUUUUUAAAGCUUAAAAAAAACAUGUAAGACACCCACAUAUUAGCCUAGACCUACACAGGGUCAGGAUCAUUAAUAUCAGUGUCUUCCAUCUCCACAUCUUGUCCCACUGGAAGGUCUUGAGGGGCAAUAACAUGUAUGGAGCUGUCAUUUCCUAUGAUAACAAUGCCUUCUGGAAGGCUUCCUGAAGGACCUGCCUGAGGCUCUUUUUGAGGCAGUGUCACUCUUUUCAGAAAUAUGUCCAUGGUGGUUUACUCAAUUUGCUUCUUUUUUAUUCAUAGAUUUGCAUAUGUAAUGCAUUGCGCUAUACCAUUAAGACAGCUAUGAUGUCACUGCAGUUACAGUGUCACUAGGUGAUAGAAAUUGUCCAGCUCCAUUACAACCUUAUGGAACCACUGGUGCAUACGUGGUUCAUUGUGGUCCAUUGUUGACUGAAACAAUGUUAUGAGGUGCGUAACUAUAUAUCCAAAGCAAAAGCUAAAUGAAAUAAAUGAAACUAAUUGUGUUGGUGUCCUAAACACACAGAGGAGAAUUACUUCAAGUAUUUUUAAAACACAGUCACUUGUCUAUGCAUUUUUAGUGGAUAUGCCCU
rnacentral:lncRNA from 1 species